rnacentral:rRNA from 1 species
GUAGGUGGCAAGCGUUGUCCGGGAAUUAUUGGGGCGUAAAGCGCGCGCAGGCGGUUCUUUAAGUCUGAUGUGAAAGCCCACGGGCUCAACCGUGGAGGGUCAUUGGAAACUGGAGAACUUGAGUACAGAAGAGGAAAGCGGAAUUCCACGUGUAGCGGUGAAAUGCGUAGAGAUGUGGAGGAACACCAGUGGCGAAGGCGGCUUUCUGGUCUGUAACUGACGCUGAGGCGCGAAAGCGUGGGGAGCAAACAGGAUUAGAUACCCUGGUAGUCCACGCCGUAAACGAUGAGUGCUAAGUGUUAGGGGGUUUCCGCCCCUUAGUGCUGCGGCUAACGCAUCAAGCACUCCGCCUGGGGAGUACGGCCGCAAAGGCUGA